CACUGUUCUUUUAACGGGCGAGUGGUUGUAGUGAUGGGUACUCGAGCCAUAUUUUUGAUCGAAUUGGUACGUACGGAAUAUCAAUUAAGAGUGUUGUAUUGGAGUUUGUUUUGUAAACGAGCGUGAUUGUUUAUACGACUUUUUACCCACCCGUCUUUUUAAAACACGGUUCGACGCUAUUGCGUAGAUGUGGCUCUAAACACUUGGUUGAGGGUGGACUAGGUCA